AUGGUUUUAAGCAGCAGCACUCAUUUUUCCAAAGGAAACAGAAGGGCCACAUGCAUCACUCCCAAUGCUGGGCUGCCUUGGCUGACACCAAACCCACUGCCCUGGCGCCUCCUCUGGGACAAGCAUCGCUGCUCCAUGUCUGGUCUUGAGCUCUGCCUUCAUAUCUUGGUUACAAAGAACACAUUAAGGCUGCCGAGAGGACGGCCUUCUUUGCUUAAGGGUCUGAGGACAGCCUGUCUCUGGCAUGGAAAAAUCCAGAAUAUACAUCCAUCCAAAUGCAAGAAUGUGGGAGUUUGUGUAUUCAGGCCUUCACUCCACCAAAGGCUCCUUCACACAGGGUGUCUUCUAUGCUUUGGAGAUCCAGAUGGUGUAAUUUCUUCUCCUUCUCUGAACCUGGCCAGGACAGAGGGCUGGAUGAGAAUCAGCUGGCAGGCCACCUGGCAGAGGGAUGCGAGGAGACAGGCGAGAGGAGCAGCCUGAGGUGCAGCAACAGGCUGCAACUGCACGGCCAUGGCCUAACAGCACCUACCUUUGCCAAUGCGGUUGGCUGUUUUCAAGAAUUUCCAGAAUCCGUCAGCUCAGUUCCCACAUGAUGAAUUUUCCAGACAGUGUCUUCCAGAGCAGUGCCUCGAGUAAGAGGCUGGACCCUGAUGUUUCUCAGUCUUGCUCCAGGUUGGCCUAGUGCAAGGUGCAUGCCUGGUGCGGCCUAGGGGCUGUGCAGAGGGCAUGGCCAGCACCUCUCUGUGCUGCCUAAUCUAUAUCAUCACCCUCAUUCUCAGAUUUGGGCAGCUCCUGGUAACAAUUUGAAGCACUCUGAGCUGAGCCUGGGACCUGGAAAGAAACAGAGCAGGCUGACAUUCAAAUCUGUCAUUUCUGUAUAGCCUGGAUUUGGCAACACCAUUGCAUUUCAUUUUUUGUGUUUGUUUGUUUGUUUGUUUAAAUUGCCUCACUUUUUUCUUGAGGAAGAAAACAAGAAUGAUAUGAAGUGCCCGGAAGCUCAGAAUUUUUGCUUAAAUGUUCUCAAAAGUACAUUGAAUUGAUUUUUCAUAUUUAUAGAGAUUUUAACUAAGGAAAACAAACAUCUGAAAUCCAACAAAAUACUACUUUUGAUGUGAUAUAUAGAUAUCUGUAGUUUAUACAGCUACGAAGUUAGGCUUUUCUGACCUUCCAGGAAUCAUGAAUACAUAGGCAUUCACAUGAGAAGGCGAUGAUGAUGUACAGCACAAUGAAGGCGGGCUGCUGAGAUAGUGAUCAACAGAAAGAUCCUGCAUGAGGGUAUAGUUGUAUUUUCUAGCUUACAUACUCUUAUUUGACUAAAUUCAUAUCUAAACUAGCCUGAAGCAGAUGGGGUGAUUAUCUUCUGUCAGUGCAGAUUUCCCAGAGACAUGAGUACAGCAUUUCAUAUCAGAGCAACACCUCCAAUCUGUACUUUUUUCCUGGUGGCCCACUUCAGUUUACCUUCUGAGGGCAGGUGUUUUAGAUCACACUUCUAAUUUAUUACUGAUGAGUAGUAGCUAGAUUGGAUCAAUGUAUGAAGUUUGCUGCAGCGGGGCUUAACAAGGCAGUACAAGGCAAUGUAUUUAUUCAAUUUAUAGUGAUGGAAACAAGCACAGUAACUACAGGCUUAUUCUGACUAUAAAUGACAUGUAUUUGUCACUUGCAGUACUGAGGGAACCUGAGCAACAGGAAACCUGUGUUUACCAGCAUUUUUAGCUUGCUUCAUGCAUCACUGAUUGUGGAAAUGAAACACAUCAAAAAAAGAUGAGAGCUCUACCAUCAGAUUCACCGGAGCUCUAACAUGCUGAGAGAUGUUCCUGUGGGAAGUUCCCAUCCGCCUUUACCUCGCAGAGAUACAGGAGCUUAUCCACCCACAACAGCCACAAAGACAGAACUGUUUUCAAGAUAUAAAUGCUUUCCUGAGUAUUAGAUCCUAGUAGAGAUGUUCUUGGUCCAAAGAUUUUAGAAUUUGGGAUGUUCCAUCUCCUCUACUGCAAUCUGAAUAAAUUACUUCAGUUUUCUAUGCA
ensembl:lncRNA